CCUACGGGAGGCAGCAGUGAGGAAUAUUGGUCAAUGGACGCAAGUCUGAACCAGCCAUGUAGCGUGCAGGAAGACUGCCCUAUGAGUUGUAAACUUCUUUUAUACGAGGAUAAAUCGCGGUACGUGUAUCGGGUUGAAAGUACUGUACGAAUAAGGAUCGGCUAACUCCGUGCCAGCAGCCGCGGUAAUACGGAGGAUACAAGCGUUAUCCGGAUUUAUUGGGUUUAAAGGGUGCGUAGGCGGUUCGAUAAGUUAGAGGUGAAAUCUCGGGGCUCAACUGUGGCAUUGCCACUGAUACUGGCGGUCUAGAGUUUAGUUGCGGUAGGCGGAAUGUGUGGUGUAGCGGUGAAAUGCAUAGAGAUCAUACAGAACACCGAUUGCGAAGGCAGCUUACCAAACUACGACUGACGUUGAUGCACGAAAGCGUGGGUAGCAAACAGGAUUAGAUACCCUUGUAGUC
rnacentral:rRNA from 1 species